rnacentral:rRNA from 1 species
UACGGAGGGUGCGAGCGUUGUUCGGAAUCACUGGGCGUAAAGGGCGCGUAGGCGGCCACCGCAAGUCGACUGUGAAAUCUCCGGGCUUAACCCGGAAAGGUCAGCCGAUACUGCGGGGCUAGAGUGCAGAAGGGGCAACUGGAAUUCUCGGUGUAGCGGUGAAAUGCGUAGAUAUCGAGAGGAACACCUGCGGCGAAGGCGGGUUGCUGGGCUGACACUGACGCUGAGGCGCGAAAGCUAGGGGAGCGAACGGG